GGCUCAGAACGAACGCUGGCGGCGUGCCUAACACAUGCAAGUCGAGCGAGAAAGCCCGCAAGGGUGAGUAAAGCGGCGCACGAGUGAGUAACACGUGGGUAAUCUGCCCUAGAGUCCGGAAUAACUCGCCGAAAGGCGUGCUAAUGCCGGAUGAGACCACGGGAGCCUCGGCUCUCGCGGGAAAAGGUGGCCUCUGUACACAAGCUAUCGCUCUAGGAUGAGCCCGCGGCCCAUCAGCUCGUUGGCGGGGUAAUGGCCCACCAAGGCUACGACGGGUAGCUGGUCUGAGAGGACGAUCAGCCACACUGGAACUGAGACACGGUCCAGACUCCUACGGGAGGCAGCAGUGGGGAAUCUUGCGCAAUGGGCGAAAGCCUGACGCAGCAACGCCGCGUGUGUGAUGAAGGUCUUCGGAUCGUAAAGCACUGUCGCGAGGGACGAAUAAGGGGCGGGUUAACAUCCCGUUCCGAUGACGGUACCUCGAGAGGAAGCACCGGCUAACUCUGUGCCAGCAGCCGCGGUAAUACAGAGGGUGCGAGCGUUGUUCGGAAUUAUUGGGCGUAAAGCGCGUGUAGGCGGCCUUGCAAGUUGGGUGUGAAAGCCCUCGGCUUAACCGAGGAAGUGCGCCCAAAACUACGAGGCUUGAGUGCCGGAGAGGGUGGCGGAAUUCCCGGUGUAGAGGUGAAAUUCGUAGAUAUCGGGAGGAACACCAGUGGCGAAGGCGGCCACCUGGACGGUAACUGACGCUGAGACGCGAAAGCGUGGGGAGCAAACAGGAUUAGAUACCCUGGUAGUCCACGCUGUAAACGAUGAGCGCUAGGUGUUGUGGGCGUUGACCCCCGCAGUGCCGCAGCUAACGCAUUAAGCGCUCCGCCUGGGGAAGUAC
rnacentral:rRNA from 1 species